rnacentral:lncRNA from 1 species
CACUUUUGGCCCACUUUUUCUCUGAAUUUGCAGUUUUCACCCCAAAAGUUGUCAAUUCUCCAAUUUGCACCUAAAAUACAAAUAAUAGCCAUUUUAAGCACCAAUUAUCAUUAAAACACACCAAAAGCUCCAAUUAAAAGGUACAAUUAAGUGUAUAAAUAUACACUUAACACACCCCCAAACUUGAACUUUUGCUUGUCCUCAAGUAAAAUCAAAUUAAGAACACAAACCAUGACAAUACAUCUCAUUACAUAGGUCGAUUGGUCAACUUCGUGUUUUCAGAACUUGCAAUUAUGAUGAUAAUUCCUAGGUAUUCGCAAGCUUAACAUUCAACGGUACUUAGUCACUCACCAUUACCAACAAUCACAAAUCAUACAAUUGCUUCAAGUAUCCAAUAUUUGCAAGUUA